rnacentral:rRNA from 1 species
GACGAACGCUGGCGGCGUGCUUAACACAUGCAAGUCGAACGAUGAAGCUGGAGCUUGCUCUAGCGGAUUAGUGGCGAACGGGUGAGUAACACGUGAGCAAUCUGCCCUUGACUCUGGGAUAACUGUGGGAAACUGUAGCUAAUACCGGAUACUUUCACCGGGGGGCAUCCUCUGGUUAUGAAAGAAUUUCGGUCGAGGAUGAGCUCGCGUCAUAUCAGCUUGUUGGUGAGGUAACGGCUCACCAAGGCGACGACGGGUAACCGGCCUGAGAGGGUGACCGGUCACGCUGGGACUGAGACACGGCCCAGACUCCUACGGGAGGCAGCAGUGGGGAAUAUUGCACAAUGGGCGCAAGCCUGAUCCAGCCAUGCCGCGUGUGUGAAGAAGGUCUUCGGAUUGUAAAGCACUUUAAGUCGGGAGGAAGGGCUGCAGGUUAAUACCUUGCAGCCUUGACGUUACCGACAGAAUAAGCACCGGCUAAC